GACGAACGCUGGCGGCGUGCUUAACACAUGCAAGUCGAACGGAAAGGCCCUGCUCUUGUGGGGUGCUCGAGUGGCGAACGGGUGAGUAACACGUGAGUAACCUACCCUUGACUUUGGGAUAACUUCAGGAAACUGGGGCUAAUACCGGAUAGGAGCUCCUGCUGCAUGGUGGGGGUUGGAAAGUUUCGGCGGUUGGGGAUGGACUCGCGGCUUAUCAGCUUGUUGGUGGGGUAGUGGCUUACCAAGGCUUUGACGGGUAGCCGGCCUGAGAGGGUGACCGGCCACAUUGGGACUGAGAUACGGCCCAGACGCCUACGGGAGGAAGCAGUGGGGAAUAUUGCACAAUGGGCGGAAGCCUGAUGCAGCAACGCCGCGUGCGGGAUGACGGCCUUCGGGCUGUAAACCGCUUUCGCCUGUGACGAAGCGUGAGUGACGGUAUGGGUAAAGAAGCACCGGCUAACUACGUG
rnacentral:rRNA from 1 species